AGGGAAGUCUGAUCCUGGGGACUUUCUUAUGCCUCCCCCAGAGCUAUGGAUAAUUUCCCUGCCUGCAUUCUUCACUGCAACUCUCUUUUAUGAGAAAUGGCUGCUCUGGCAGAACACAAAGAUGACUGCAUUUCCAAGGAGUGAUUAGCAUAAGAGCCCUGAAAUUGAGGACCCUGUGCCUUGUCUUCAAGGUGGUAAAGAAAGCAGGAGCUGUGCAGACUGGAAGCUGGCUUGGUGAUGGUGGCAUCAGAAAGCAAAGGGAGGCCACGCAUGGUGGCUCAUGCCUGGAAUCUCAGCACAUGGGAGACCAAAGCAAGAGGAUCACUGGAGCCCAGAAAUUCCAGACCAGCCUGGGCAACAUAGUGAGACCCCGUUCCUACAAAAAAAUUUUUUUAAUUUGCCAGGCAUGGUGGUGCACAUCUGUA
rnacentral:lncRNA from 10 species